UACGUAGGGGGCAAGCGUUGUCCGGAAUUAUUGGGCGUAAAGAGCGCGUAGGCGGUCCGAUAAGUCGGCUGUGAAAGUCAGGGGCUCAACCCUUGAAAGCCGGCCGAUACUGUCGGACUAGAGUCCGGAAGAGGCGAGUGGAAUUCCCGGUGUAGCGGUGAAAUGCGCAGAUAUCAGGAGGAACACCGAUUGCGAAGGCAGCUCGCUGGGACGUCACUGACGCUGAGACGCGAAAGCGUGGGGAGCAAACAGG
rnacentral:rRNA from 1 species